rnacentral:rRNA from 1 species
CCAACGGGAGGCAGCAGUGGGGAAUAUUGCACAAUGGGCGAAAGCCUGAUGCAGCAACGCCGCGUGAGGGAAGACGGUCUUCGGGUUGUAAACCUUUAACUUUGGAGAAGAAACAACUGACGGUAACCAAAGGAGCAGCCACGGCUAACUACGUGCCAGCAGCCGCGGUAAUACGUAGGUGGCAAGCGUUGUACGGAAUUACUGGGUGUAAAGGGAGCGCAGGCGGGGAGGCAAGUCAGCUGUGAAAGGGAUGGGCUUAACCCAUGAAGUGCAGUUGAAACUG